rnacentral:lncRNA from 1 species
UAAACUGUUAGUAGAGUACAAUUUCUAUGCCAGUAAUGAAACAUUUUUUACUGCUAAAGCAUCAUAAAAAAUACAUAGUUUGUCACAAGAAAGCAAACUGAUUAGAAAGGAUCAAACAUUUGUACUCCUAAUGCACUUAAACAUGAACCUUCAUUUUUAAGGAUGGGAAGAUUGAAGGCAUGACUAGAGACUUGAGGCGACAAACGGCUUCAAGCGAGCUUGGAGCAAAUGAACAGCAGCAUGAGCAGACUGAUUGGGAGCAUAGCAAUGAUGAUGCGGUGGACUUUCCUAUCUUCGCGCGAAGCAGUUGUGAACAGCCUUGGCCACUUUGGACAUAUGACGUUGACGUAGUUCUCCACCCAUUUCCAGAACCUGCAUUUGCGAUACUGAAAAGAACAUGAGAAAACAUGAAUGGCGAGUCUUGCGCACGAAUUGAUUAGUAAUAGGAAAACAUUAAGAGAUUUGGGCAUACCAUCUAAGAGUGAGAACGAAUCGUGGGAGAGCAAGCUUGAAGAUGCUAGUGGAUAUGAAUGUGAUGAUAUGCAGUGUGAGGAGG